rnacentral:rRNA from 1 species
UACGUAGGGGGCAAGCGUUGUCCGGAAUCAUUGGGCGUAAAGAGCGUGUAGGCGGUCCGGUCAGUCGGUUGUGAAAGUCAAGGGCUCAACCCUUGAAUGCCGGCCGAUACUGCCGGGCUAGAGUCCGGAAGAGGUGAGUGGAAUUCCUGGUGUAGCGGUGGAAUGCGCAGAUAUCAGGAGGAACACCGAUGGCGAAGGCAGUUCUCUGGGCCGUAACUGACGCUGAGGAGCGAAAGCGUGGGGAGCGAACAGG